GACGAACGCUUGCGGCAUGCCUGAGAAAUGCAAGUCGAGCGGGGAGGGGGGAGCAAUCCCUUCUUCUAGCGGCGAACGGUCGAGUAACACGUAAGCAACCUACCCGGAAGCGGGGGACAAGCCGGAGAAAUCCGGGGUAAUACCGCAUAACUUGGGAGGAGACAUCUUCUGCCAAGAAAGGGAAGCGAAAGCUUUUCACUUUCGGAGGGGCUUGCGGCCUAUCAGCUAGUUGGCGGGGUAACGGCUCACCAAGGCGACGACGGGUAGCUGGUCUGAG
rnacentral:rRNA from 1 species